UCGGGCUGUGGUGCAUCUGUACCUCAGUGACCAUGGUGUGGUGGAAGGAACGGGAGCAGAAGGCAGUGGCAGAACGUGUGCAGUGUGAGCAGAAGCCACUGGAGAAAUGCCUCCUCUCAGCCCGACACCAUUUCGACUUGGUCCCGACGUUUGGAUUCUCCCCGCUGUCAUGUAGGAUGAAGAUCUCCCAUGAAAAUAUUUUGAGGUCGACUUUGCAGUAAUUGUCAUGAGAAAGCUACACGGCAUCAAAGUCAAGCCUUUCUUAUCACAACCCAUUAUAGAAUUACAUUCGGAGGACCCACUUCAAAUCGGCAAGUACCCUUAACCUACUUGGUACGAUGUGCACUAUAGAACGCUCUUUGCUUUUUUCCCCUUUUCCUUUUAAAAGGGGUGUGUGUGUGUGUGU